UACAGGGGGGGCAAGCGUUGUUCGGAAUUACUGGGCGUAAAGGGUCUGUAGGUGGCCAACUAAGUCAGACGUGAAAUCCCUCAGCUUAACUGGGGAACUGCGUCUGAUACUGGAUGGCUCGAGUGUGGGAGAGGAAUGCGGAAUUCCAGGUGUAGCGGUGAAAUGCGUAGAUAUCUGGAGGAAUACCGGUGGCGAAGGCGGCAUCCUGGACCGGCAUUGACGCUGAGGAGCGAAAGCUAGGGGAGCAAACGGGG
rnacentral:rRNA from 1 species